AUUGUGUGAUGUGAAUUCAAAAAGGCUUAAAACCUUUGAACUUACAAGCACUUAAAUUACACCCACUUAUCUUAAGUGUUGGAGAUGCCACAAGGAUCAUCAAGCCUUGAUAAAGUCAGAAAAAGUUCUGAAAAUAACCAAAAGAGAAAAACUCUCACUUAUCUGAAUUUUGUGGCUAGGAAACACAUUGGGAGAUUUCAGUGUUUCUAGGGCUUAUCAACGAAUCAAUCAGUUUCAUACUUUGAAUGAGUCUGAAAAUUGGAAGAAAAUUUGGAAGAUUAAUGCUCCUCAGAAGAUUAGAGUAUUCAUCUGGCAGCUUGUGCACAAGCGGCUUACUACCAAGAAGCGUGUAGUGAGUUGGGGGAUUGGUACUCUCUCUUGUCACCGUUUCGUCACUUUGAAGAGACCAUUCUGCACGUCAUGCGUGAUUGCCCUUUGGCUAGCCAGGAUGUUCUACUUUUUCUUCGAAUCACGCAAUAGGAAGGAGAAUCCUGUCGUAAUUUGGUUGACUAGGGGACCUGGGUGUAGCAGUGAAUUGGCUUUCUUUUAUGAAAAUGGCCCAUUCAAAAUUCCUGACAACUUGUCUCUUGUGUGGAAUGACUAUGGUUGGGACAAGGAUCAACUUACCAUACAGUUGCCACACCCUACAAUCAAGUUCAGGAACUUCAACUAACAGUGUGAUACAUAGCUACAGAACAUGUUGCUUUAAAUUAAUAUAGUUUGUGACUAUUUAUACUUGUAAUCAUUUACCAUAUUAAUAGUUUUAUUAGACAGGAAAGAGAAAAAGUAUGAAACAAAUGAAGAAAUUGAUUUAGUGGCUUUGAGGAGGAAUAAUCAGAGUGACUUUGCUUAUUUUUCUAUUAAGUUGUUGGCAACUUAAUAGAAAAAUAAGGCAAAGUUAUUAUAUGACUCCCCCCUUCCCUCACCUCAAAGUCAUUGAAUUCAUGACCCUGAAAUGGCUGACAACCGAUAAGGUUGUCCAAUCUCUGCACAUCAGAAAUGGAAACACCCUUGAAAUAGAAUACAAAAUAAACCAUAACAAACACUACUCCAAAACAUUUUAAGAACAAAGAGAUGUGAUUUCAAAAUGUCUCAUACUCCAUCCAAGUGGACAAAAAGUAUUGAAAAAAUUGAACACGAGCACAAAAUUGGUUUCCUUGUUUUACUAAUAAGGUGUUUGGUAGGUAGGUUCUUGUUUCCUAGGAAUCUUAAGUUGAUGUUAGAUUCUUAUGUUUGGUAUUAACUUUUUUUAAAACUAGCAUUCACAUAAAUGGUUUUUUUAAGUAUGUGAUAACUAUUAAUUAUGAGUAUAUUUU